GACGAACGCUGGCGGCGUGCUUAACACAUGGAAGUCGAACGGAAAGGCCCUGCUUUUGGGGGGUGCUCGAGGGGCGAACGGGGGAGUAAAACGUGAGUAACCUGCCCUUGAAUUUGGGAUAAAUUUAGGGAACUGGGGCUAAUACCGGGUAGGAGCUCCUGCUGCAAGGGGGGGGGUGGGAAGGUUCGGCGGUUGGGGAUGGACUCGCUGCUUAUCAGCUUGUUGGUGGGGUAGGGGCUUUCCAAGGCUUUGACGGGUAGCCGGCCUUGGAGGGUGACCGGCCACAUUGGGCCUGAGAUACGGCCCAGACUCCUACGGGAGGCAGCAGUGGGGAAUAUUGCACAAUGGGCGGAAGCCUGAUGCAGCAACGCCGCGUGCGGGAUGACGGCCUUCGGGUUGUAAACCGCUUUCGCCUGUGACGAAGCGUGAGUGACGGUAAUGGGUAAAGAAGCACCGGCUAACUACGUG
rnacentral:rRNA from 1 species